rnacentral:misc_RNA from 1 species
GUCUGGACUUGUACUCUGACUUGCACUAACUCGCCGCCUGGUUACCGCUGAGGGGAGCAACAUUCUGGCGUAUAUACAUAUACAGUCACAUUGACUGCAGCACAGUUCGGUUUCAGUGUUUCACACACAGCUGUCAUUCCAGUUGACUCAACUGUUUGACAAUCUUCUUGUUUCAUCCCUUCUCAUUAAAUCUCGUCAUAUUUCAGAUUUGUUGGAAAUCUCAGAACAAUCCAAGGGAAAAUGAUGAAUGGGACAAUGACCAAGGAAAACAGCUUUGUCAAAAACAGAGCCAAGCUGUUUUCGUGCAAGAGUGAAGAAGAACCUCAGAAUGAAGUGAGCAUCAACAGUAGCAACAACAAGAAAACACCCUCGUACGUCAGUCUAUCGUGUGCCGUUUCUGGUUACAGCGGUCUGAAUCGCUACGAUUCUCGAAUCCGUUCAAGAGACAACAGUCGGGACGGUAACAGAUUGCCAUUGUGCUUAACCAAAAGCCGAGAUUCUAGCCCCACCCGAACGAGUAGACACGAUUUAAAGACCAGAAAAUCUUCAGGAGGUUUCCUAUUAACAGACAUCACGGCCACUGCUGCAACUCCAAUCGAGUAUCAGCAGCAACAACAGCAGAAUCAGCAGUGGAAUGGCAGGUCCAAAAGUGUUGAUCGAGGAUACCUACGACAGAAUUUCCUCAAUGGAUACCUCCAAUACAAGCCACCGACGAGUCCAUCUCCGUCCACCACAACAACCGCAACAAACAACGAGGAAAGAGGACGAGUGCGCAUUAGAAGUUCGACGGUGCCUCAUCAUGGAACACAACAAGACUCGAAAUCUGUGAUACAGCAGAGAAUCGAGCGGCUUUACGGACCAGCUGCUCUGGCCGGUGGCUUCUUUCUUGUCAAGUCGCCUCUGAAAACGUCAAAGGAACCAUUAAAAAGUAUUCCAAUUCAUAACAAUAACAACACUCAGGAGACUACCGAUGGUUGUGCAACGCCACCCGUUUUUCGUCACCUCAACGCCGAAUUCCGCCAACAGCUCAAGCUCAAGGACAAACGGUCGCCUGAAUCGACGAAACCUAUGGUCGCAACAGCCGAGUUGACGAUUGAAACAACAGCAGCAACUACAAUAACUAAUAACUGCACGCCGAUUACUCGGGAAUCGGUAGAAUCGACGAACGGAGAAGCCAUUCCGGUUGAUGAUGGACACAAGUUUCUCAAGAUUCUAGAUGACGAAAAAACUCGCAUUCAAAUUGUGAUAGCCAAAAACGAAUUGUAUCUUCUUGAAUCACGUGUCGAAUCUUCUGAGGAGUUGACUGGAAAAGUCAGAGCGGCUGUUGGCAAAGCGAAAUUGCUUUUGGCUCAGAAAUUCGAGCAGUUUGCUGGACUCUGUCGCAAAAAUUUGACUCAAAGUCCAGACGAGCCAUUCCCGACGACAGGCCAAGACUUAGCCGGGUUUUGGGAUAUGGUGACUAUCCAAGUAGACCACAUCGAUUUGCUGUUUGCCGAAAUCAAACAAUUGAGAGACAACAACUGGGUAGAAGUCAUACCAGAGCAGCAAGCGGCCACACCUGCGACUAAACCAUUGAAGGCCAAGAGCAAAAACAGCAACAAUUCAUCAACACCCGCUAGGUCUGCCAAGGCUCAAGAAGCUGCCAAAGCCAGGGAAGAGGCGCGAAGAAAGAUGAUGGAAGAGAGACGAAAGCUUGCCAAAGCUAAAAAGAAUGAUGACUGGGUAAUUGAAGAAAAAACGGAAACAAUCGACUUGACCUAUAGCCAACAAAUCAAUGAAGAAAUGGUAGUGUGAUGAUUUCGGCACGGCUCAACUCUUGGAGGUGUAAUGUAAUAAUGGCACCGUGAGAUCCUAACUGAACAUUCGUAUUGUGUCCGUAUAUGAAUCACAGCGCCAACGCCGAUUUUCAUUGAACAAAUGCUAUGCUUACUUUAAAAUGUAUGUGGUGAUAGAUUGUGUACGGGCUAAAAAAAAAAGAGCUCGAUAUCCCCAAAUGAGCGUACUUUUGAAUUUUAGUUUCUUAUUCAUAUUAUGCAAACAAGAGAAUUCCGCUCUGUAUUGAAAACGUUGUAGGCUUUUUGAAUAUAAUUUUUAUAUUUUCA